GGGCAGAUCAAACAGAGUGGGAAAGGGAAAAUUUAGUGGAACAGAUGUUUAGUGUUUGUUGUCAGCUUGACUAGAAUUUAUAUGAACUGAGAGAUACACUUUUGAGUGUGAGAAUAUUUUCCUGCAAGGACUGAGUGGGAAAUAUCUUCUCAGAUGUGUAAGAAGGCUUGAGGGAAAAGCAUUGUUUCUGCCUGCCUGCCUUUGUUCCUUGCUGGUGAGUGCUCGUCCUCCUCCUCCUUCUCCUCCUCCUCCUCCUGCGUCUCCUCUUCCUCCUCCUCCUCCUUCUUCUGAUAUCCUUCAUCGGCUGUGGAACCCAGCUUCUUUGGCCUUCCAAUAUGGACUAAAGACCAGUGGCUCUCCUGGAUUCCUCCAGCUUGAGACUGAAACUGCUGAGAAACCCAGUAUUGUGGGCUAAGCAGCAAUCAGCUCCUCAACUUCUUCCGAAUGCAGGUGGCUAUUGUUCAACUACCCAGGCUGCGUCACGUAAGACAAUCUAAUUGUGCCUCCAAAUGUCCUUUAUUGUGGGUCCAUCCACUGGAGCCUGGUUAACAUACAAUCACUUCAUUGAAAGAGAAUCCCAGCAGGCAGACACAGACUUCUUGUGAUCAGGAAAGAUGGAAGGACUGCUGCCCUUCUCUUGCUGCUGUCAAGAGUUUGUCCCGCAUUAUUUCAAUGCUCAAGUAGUCCGGCAACUUAAGAUAGUUCACACAAGUCAUUACAGAGGGAAAUCUGCAUCUAAUCUGAACAAUGCUGCUCAGAGAAUUCAGAUGUCUUCUGCAGAUUAAGUGCGUGGAGGUAUUCCUUUCUCUGAUACUCUUGAAACUCACCUACCAAACGCCACAUUUAGCAACAACUGAAGAAUUAUAACUUAUAUCUCAAGCUAUCAACCUGGUGGGUGAUUGGAAUAAAUAGUUCCUGUUUUCUCUUCCUUUUAUGGUACAUUUCAAAAGAUACUGCUGU